CUGUAUAAAAAGGGUGUUCUUGUAUGAAAUGCUUCACAUCACAAGUUCUAGUGUCGAAGUGACUAUUUGAUACUGUCCUACGCACGGCAAAACUGCAUCGCACCUAGUUAUCGUGAAAACAUCAGAAGACCCAGGCAAAAACAAACCAGGCAACCAUCUCCAUUCCUAGAUUCUCUCUUGGCUCAGCGACUGCUGUGAGUGUGACCAAACCAGCAAACAGUUCUCCACUUGUGUGAAAGGCAGCAAAUCACAAGUUCUAGCGACUAUUUGAUACUGUCCUACGCACGGCAAAAAUGCAUCGCACCUAGUUAUCGUGAAAACAUCAGAAGACCCAGGCAAAAACAAACCAGGCAACCAUCUCCAUUCCUAGAUUCUCUCUUGGCUCAGCGACUGCUGUGAGUGUGACCAAACCAGCAAACAGUUCUCCACUUGUGUGAAAGGCAGCAAAUCACAAGUUCUAGCGACUAUUUGAUACUGUCCUACGCACGGCAAAACUGCAUCGCACCUAGUUAUCGUGAAAACAUCAGAAGACCCAGGCAAAAACAAACCAGGCAACCAUCUCCAUUCCUAGAUUCUCUCUUGGCUCAGCGACUGCUGUGAGUGUGACCAAACCAGCAAACAGUUCUCCACUUGUGUGAAAGGCAGCAAAUCACAAGUUCUAGCGACUAUUUGAUACUGUCCUACGCACGGCAAAACUGCAUCGCACCUAGUUAUCGUGAAAACAUCAGAAGACCCAGGCAAAAACAAACCAGGCAACCAUCUCCAUUCCUAGAUUCUCUCUUGGCUCAGCGACUGCUGUGAGUGUGACCAAACCAGCAAACAGUUCUCCACUUGUGUGAAAGGCAGCAAAUCACAAGUUCUAGCGACUAUUUGAUACUGUCCUACGCACGGCAAAACUGCAUCGCACCUAGUUAUCGUGAAAACAUCAGAAGACCCAGGCAAAAACAAACCAGGCAACCAUCUCCAUUCCUAGAUUCUCUCUUGGCUCAGCGACUGCUGUGAGUGUGACCAAACCAGCAAACAGUUCUCCACUUGUGUGAAAGGCAGCAAAUCACAAGUUCUAGCGACUAUUUGAUACUGUCCUACGCACGGCAAAACUGCAUCGCACCUAGUUAUCGUGAAAACAUCAGAAGACCCAGGCAAAAACAAACCAGGCAACCAUCUCCAUUCCUAGAUUCUCUCUUGGCUCAGCGACUGCUGUGAGUGUGACCAAACCAGCAAACAGUUCUCCACUUGUGUGAAAGGCAGCAAAUCACAAGUUCUAGCGACUAUUUGAUACUGUCCUACGCACGGCAAAACUGCAUCGCACCUAGUUAUCGUGAAAACAUCAGAAGACCCAGGCAAAAACAAACCAGGCAACCAUCUCCAUUCCUAGAUUCUCUCUUGGCUCAGCGACUGCUGUGAGUGUGACCAAACCAGCAAACAGUUCUCCACUUGUGUGAAAGGCAGCAAAUCACAAGUUCUAGCGACUAUUUGAUACUGUCCUACGCACGGCAAAACUGCAUCGCACCUAGUUAUCGUGAAAACAUCAGAAGACCCAGGCAAAAACAAACCAGGCAACCAUCUCCAUUCCUAGAUUCUCUCUUGGCUCAGCGACUGCUGUGAGUGUGACCAAACCAGCAAACAGUUCUCCACUUGUGUGAAAGGCAGCAAAUCACAAGUUCUAGCGACUAUUUGAUACUGUCCUACGCACGGCAAAACUGCAUCGCACCUAGUUAUCGUGAAAACAUCAGAAGACCCAGGCAAAAACAAACCAGGCAACCAUCUCCAUUCCUAGAUUCUCUCUUGGCUCAGCGACUGCUGUGAGUGUGACCAAACCAGCAAACAGUUCUCCACUUGUGUGAAAGGCAGCAAAUCACAAGUUCUAGCGACUAUUUGAUACUGUCCUACGCACGGCAAAACUGCAUCGCACCUAGUUAUCGUGAAAACAUCAGAAGACCCAGGCAAAAACAAACCAGGCAACCAUCUCCAUUCCUAGAUUCUCUCUUGGCUCAGCGACUGCUGUGAGUGUGACCAAACCAGCAAACAGUUCUCCACUUGUGUGAAAGGCAGCAAAUCACAAGUUCUAGCGACUAUUUGAUACUGUCCUACGCACGGCAAAACUGCAUCGCACCUAGUUAUCGUGAAAACAUCAGAAGACCCAGGCAAAAACAAACCAGGCAACCAUCUCCAUUCCUAGAUUCUCUCUUGGCUCAGCGACUGCUGUGAGUGUGACCAAACCAGCAAACAGUUCUCCACUUGUGUGAAAGGCAGCAAAUCACAAGUUCUAGCGACUAUUUGAUACUGUCCUACGCACGGCAAAACUGCAUCGCACCUAGUUAUCGUGAAAACAUCAGAAGACCCAGGCAAAAACAAACCAGGCAACCAUCUCCAUUCCUAGAUUCUCUCUUGGCUCAGCGACUGCUGUGAGUGUGACCAAACCAGCAAACAGUUCUCCACUUGUGUGAAAGGCAGCAAAUCACAAGUUCUAGCGACUAUUUGAUACUGUCCUACGCACGGCAAAACUGCAUCGCACCUAGUUAUCGUGAAAACAUCAGAAGACCCAGGCAAAAACAAACCAGGCAACCAUCUCCAUUCCUAGAUUCUCUCUUGGCUCAGCGACUGCUGUGAGUGUGACCAAACCAGCAAACAGUUCUCCACUUGUGUGAAAGGCAGCAAAUCACAAGUUCUAGCGACUAUUUGAUACUGUCCUACGCACGGCAAAACUGCAUCGCACCUAGUUAUCGUGAAAACAUCAGAAGACCCAGGCAAAAACAAACCAGGCAACCAUCUCCAUUCCUAGAUUCUCUCUUGGCUCAGCGACUGCUGUGAGUGUGACCAAACCAGCAAACAGUUCUCCACUUGUGUGAAAGGCAGCAAAUCACAAGUUCUAGCGACUAUUUGAUACUGUCCUACGCACGGCAAAACUGCAUCGCACCUAGUUAUCGUGAAAACAUCAGAAGACCCAGGCAAAAACAAACCAGGCAACCAUCUCCAUUCCUAGAUUCUCUCUUGGCUCAGCGACUGCUGUGAGUGUGACCAAACCAGCAAACAGUUCUCCACUUGUGUGAAAGGCAGCAAAUCACAAGUUCUAGCGACUAUUUGAUACUGUCCUACGCACGGCAAAACUGCAUCGCACCUAGUUAUCGUGAAAACAUCAGAAGACCCAGGCAAAAACAAACCAGGCAACCAUCUCCAUUCCUAGAUUCUCUCUUGGCUCAGCGACUGCUGUGAGUGUGACCAAACCAGCAAACAGUUCUCCACUUGUGUGAAAGGCAGCAAAUCACAAGUUCUAGCGACUAUUUGAUACUGUCCUACGCACGGCAAAACUGCAUCGCACCUAGUUAUCGUGAAAACAUCAGAAGACCCAGGCAAAAACAAACCAGGCAACCAUCUCCAUUCCUAGAUUCUCUCUUGGCUCAGCGACUGCUGUGAGUGUGACCAAACCAGCAAACAGUUCUCCACUUGUGUGAAAGGCAGCAAAUCACAAGUUCUAGCGACUAUUUGAUACUGUCCUACGCACGGCAAAACUGCAUCGCACCUAGUUAUCGUGAAAACAUCAGAAGACCCAGGCAAAAACAAACCAGGCAACCAUCUCCAUUCCUAGAUUCUCUCUUGGCUCAGCGACUGCUGUGAGUGUGACCAAACCAGCAAACAGUUCUCCACUUGUGUGAAAGGCAGCAAAUCACAAGUUCUAGCGACUAUUUGAUACUGUCCUACGCACGGCAAAACUGCAUCGCACCUAGUUAUCGUGAAAACAUCAGAAGACCCAGGCAAAAACAAACCAGGCAACCAUCUCCAUUCCUAGAUUCUCUCUUGGCUCAGCGACUGCUGUGAGUGUGACCAAACCAGCAAACAGUUCUCCACUUGUGUGAAAGGCAGCAAAUCACAAGUUCUAGCGACUAUUUGAUACUGUCCUACGCACGGCAAAACUGCAUCGCACCUAGUUAUCGUGAAAACAUCAGAAGACCCAGGCAAAAACAAACCAGGCAACCAUCUCCAUUCCUAGAUUCUCUCUUGGCUCAGCGACUGCUGUGAGUGUGACCAAACCAGCAAACAGUUCUCCACUUGUGUGAAAGGCAGCAAAUCACAAGUUCUAGCGACUAUUUGAUACUGUCCUACGCACGGCAAAACUGCAUCGCACCUAGUUAUCGUGAAAACAUCAGAAGACCCAGGCAAAAACAAACCAGGCAACCAUCUCCAUUCCUAGAUUCUCUCUUGGCUCAGCGACUGCUGUGAGUGUGACCAAACCAGCAAACAGUUCUCCACUUGUGUGAAAGGCAGCAAAUCACAAGUUCUAGCGACUAUUUGAUACUGUCCUACGCACGGCAAAACUGCAUCGCACCUAGUUAUCGUGAAAACAUCAGAAGACCCAGGCAAAAACAAACCAGGCAACCAUCUCCAUUCCUAGAUUCUCUCUUGGCUCAGCGACUGCUGUGAGUGUGACCAAACCAGCAAACAGUUCUCCACUUGUGUGAAAGGCAGCAAAUCACAAGUUCUAGCGACUAUUUGAUACUGUCCUACGCACGGCAAAACUGCAUCGCACCUAGUUAUCGUGAAAACAUCAGAAGACCCAGGCAAAAACAAACCAGGCAACCAUCUCCAUUCCUAGAUUCUCUCUUGGCUCAGCGACUGCUGUGAGUGUGACCAAACCAGCAAACAGUUCUCCACUUGUGUGAAAGGCAGCAAAUCACAAGUUCUAGCGACUAUUUGAUACUGUCCUACGCACGGCAAAACUGCAUCGCACCUAGUUAUCGUGAAAACAUCAGAAGACCCAGGCAAAAACAAACCAGGCAACCAUCUCCAUUCCUAGAUUCUCUCUUGGCUCAGCGACUGCUGUGAGUGUGACCAAACCAGCAAACAGUUCUCCACUUGUGUGAAAGGCAGCAAAUCACAAGUUCUAGCGACUAUUUGAUACUGUCCUACGCACGGCAAAACUGCAUCGCACCUAGUUAUCGUGAAAACAUCAGAAGACCCAGGCAAAAACAAACCAGGCAACCAUCUCCAUUCCUAGAUUCUCUCUUGGCUCAGCGACUGCUGUGAGUGUGACCAAACCAGCAAACAGUUCUCCACUUGUGUGAAAGGCAGCAAAUCACAAGUUCUAGCGACUAUUUGAUACUGUCCUACGCACGGCAAAACUGCAUCGCACCUAGUUAUCGUGAAAACAUCAGAAGACCCAGGCAAAAACAAACCAGGCAACCAUCUCCAUUCCUAGAUUCUCUCUUGGCUCAGCGACUGCUGUGAGUGUGACCAAACCAGCAAACAGUUCUCCACUUGUGUGAAAGGCAGCAAAUCACAAGUUCUAGCGACUAUUUGAUACUGUCCUACGCACGGCAAAACUGCAUCGCACCUAGUUAUCGUGAAAACAUCAGAAGACCCAGGCAAAAACAAACCAGGCAACCAUCUCCAUUCCUAGAUUCUCUCUUGGCUCAGCGACUGCUGUGAGUGUGACCAAACCAGCAAACAGUUCUCCACUUGUGUGAAAGGCAGCAAAUCACAAGUUCUAGCGACUAUUUGAUACUGUCCUACGCACGGCAAAACUGCAUCGCACCUAGUUAUCGUGAAAACAUCAGAAGACCCAGGCAAAAACAAACCAGGCAACCAUCUCCAUUCCUAGAUUCUCUCUUGGCUCAGCGACUGCUGUGAGUGUGACCAAACCAGCAAACAGUUCUCCACUUGUGUGAAAGGCAGCAAAUCACAAGUUCUAGCGACUAUUUGAUACUGUCCUACGCACGGCAAAACUGCAUCGCACCUAGUUAUCGUGAAAACAUCAGAAGACCCAGGCAAAAA
rnacentral:lncRNA from 1 species